rnacentral:lncRNA from 12 species
UUUAGGGAUAAAUUCGGGUUUUUCCUUAAAUCCCACGGAAAUCUGGGGAAAGGGGAAAUUUUCCAGGAAAAUCCAGCUGGAGAGGCUUCCAGAACUCCGGGCUUGGAGCUGGAAUUUGGGAUUAAACCCCCCAAAAAAUCAGGGUGUGAAUUAAACCUUAAACUCUCGAGCAAACCCCAAACCAUGACCCAGAGGAUUUGGGGGGAUUUCUGUGGGAUUUGGGGCAUUUUUUUUGUGGGAUUUGGGGUGUUUUGUGUGGGGUUUGAGGUAUUUUUUUGUGGAAUCCGGGGCGUUUCUGUGGGUUUGGGGUGUUUCUGGGAUAUUUGGAAUAUUUCUUGUGGGAUUUGGGGUCAGAGCCCCAAAGGAAGGGCCUGACCCCAACCCCGGCCCCACAGGAGUACCCCGGGUACGGUUGGUGGGUCGGGGAGCUCGGCCAGGAAAUUGGGAUCGUCCCGAAGGAAUUCCUGAUGCCCGCCUUCGACCUGGAGCAGUGACGGGACAGGAUUCCUCCGCAGGACCCAGCGCUGGCACCGAGAGGAUUUAUCCCAGAAAUCCCCCCUGGCGCCAUUCCGUGGGGAAACUGAGGCACGCAUCCCGCUUUUCCCAAAAAUCCCAAAUCCCCUGGAGAUCUCCCACUCUCGUUAUCCCGCUUUUCCUGCGUCAAUCCCAAAUCCCCUGGAGAUCCCAAAUCCAGGUGUUCCCCCAUCCCAAAUCCAGGUGUUCCCCCAUCCCAAAUCCAGGUGUUCCCCCAUCCCAAAUCCAGGUGUUCCCCC